rnacentral:rRNA from 1 species
CCCCGUACCGCAAACCGACACAGGUGGGCGAGAAGAGAAUUCUAAGGCGCGCGGAACAACUCUCGUUAAGGAACUCGGCAAAAUGACCCCGUAACUUCGGGAGAAGGGGUGCCUCGGUAGGGUGAAUAGCCCGAGGGGGCCGCAGUGAAAAGGCCCAAGCGACUGUUUAGCAAAAACACAGGUCUGUGCGAAGCCGCAAGGCGAAGUAUACGGGCUGACGCCUGCCCGGUGCUGGAAGGUUAAGAGGAGUGGUAAGUCCGCAAGGGCGAAGCUAUGAAUUGAAGCCCCAGUAAACGGCGGCCGUAACUAUAACGGUCCUAAGGUAGCGAAAUUCCUUGUCAGGUAAAUUCUGACCCGCACGAAUGGCGUAACGACUUGGGCGCUGUCUCAACGAGAGAUCCGGUGAAAUUUUAAUACCUGUGAAGAUGCAGGUUACCCGCGACAAGACGGAAAGACCCCAUGGAGCUUUACUGUAGCUUACUAUUGAAUUUGGGUAUGAUCUGUACAGGAUAGGUGGGAACCGUAGAGACAUGAGCGCCAGCUUGUGUGGAGGUGACGUUGGGAUACCACCCUGAUCCUACCUAGAUUCUAACCUGUGCCCCUGAAUCGGGGCAAGGGACCGUGGUAGGUGGACAGUUUGACUGGGGCGGUCGCCUCCUAAAGUGUAACGGAGGCGCCCCAAGGUUCCCUCAGAAUGGUUGGAAAUCAUUCGCAGAGUGCAAAGGCAUAAGGGAGCUUGACUGCGAGACCUACAAGUCGAGCAGGGACGAAAGUCGGGCUUAGUGAUCCGGUGGUUCCGAAUGGAAGGGCCAUCGCUCAACGGAUAAAAGCUACCCUGGGGAUAACAGGCUUAUCUCCCCCAAGAGUCCACAUCGACGGGGAGGUUUGGCACCUCGAUGUCGGCUCAUCGCAUCCUGGGGCUGAAGUAGGUCCCAAGGGUUGGGCUGUUCGCCCAUUAAAGCGGUACGCGAGCUGGGUUCAGAACGUCGUGAGACAGUUCGGUCCCUAUCUGUCGUGGGCGCAGGAAAUCUGAGAGGAGCUGUCCUUAGUACGAGAGGACCGGGAUGGACGUUCCGCUGGUGUACCAGUUGUUCCGCCAGGAGCAUCGCUGGGUAGCCAAGAACGGACGGGAUAAGCGCUGAAAGCAUCUAAGCGUGAAGCCCCCCUCAAGAUGAGAUUUCCCAGUAUGUAAGACCCCUUGUAGACGACGAGGUAGAUAGGUCUGAGGUGGAAGCGCAGCAAUGUGUGGAGCUGACGGAUACUAAUCGGUCGAGGGCUCACCCA